AGUGAACGCUGGCGGUAGGCCUAACACAUGCAGGUCGAACGGCAGCACAGUAAGAGCUUGCUCUUACGGGUGGCGAGUGGCGGACGGGUGAGGAAUACAUCGGAAUCUACUUUUUCGUAGGGGAUAACGUAGGGAAACUUACGCUAAUACCGCAUACGACCUACGGGUGAAAGCAGGGGAUCUUCGGACCUUGCGCGAUUGAAUGAGCCGAUGUCGGAUUAGCUAGUUGGCGGGGUAAAGGCCCACCAAGGCGACGAUCCGUAGCUGGUCUGAGAGGAUGAUCAGCCACACUGGAACUGAGACACGGUCCAGACUCCUACGGGAGGCAGCAGUGGGGAAUAUUGGACAAUGGGCGCAAGCCUGAUCCAGCCAUACCGCGUGGGUGAAGAAGGCCUUCGGGUUGUAAAGCCCUUUUGUUGGGAAAGAAAAGCAGCAGGUUAAUACCCCGCUGUUCUGACGGUACCCAAAGAAUAAGCACCGGCUAACUUCGUG
rnacentral:rRNA from 1 species